rnacentral:tRNA from 1 species
UUGGGGAUUUGGCUCAGUGGUAGAGCGCUUGCCUAGGAAGCACAAGGUCCUGGGUUUAAUCCCCAGCCCCAAA